rnacentral:rRNA from 1 species
CUAGCCGUAAACGAUGGACGCUAGGUGUUGGCAGAUCUAACCCUGUCUGCGCCGAAGCAAACGCGUUAAGCGUCCCGCCUGGGAACUACGGUCGCAAGAUUAAAACUCAAAGGAAUUGACGGGGACCCGCACAAGCAGCGGAGCGUGUGGUUUAAUUCGAUGCUACACGAAGAACCUUACCCAGGUUUGACAUACUAGUGGUAGUGAACUGAAAGGGGAACGACCCGCAAGGGAGCUAGUACAGGUGU